rnacentral:lncRNA from 1 species
GACCGUGACAUCGGCGAGGUCCGCGUCCCCCUCUCCGAUCUCCUCGCCGGUGCCGGCGAUGGCCCGCGGCCCGUCCAGUUCGUCAGCUAUCAGGUCCACGGGAUGACAUCCGGCAAGCCCAAGGGCGUCCUCAACUUCUCCUACAGCCUCAGCGAGCGGGUCUUGGCGCCCGCCACCGCGUCGGCCGCCGCCCCGUUCGACGCCCACCGGCCUCCGUUCACGUCAUACCCUGCGGUCUCCGCCUCGCACUCAGCGCCGUCCUCGGCGAAGGCGGAUGAGCCUGUGAUGGCGUACCCGCCGGGCCCCAGCUCGGCCCCGUAUCCCGCAUACGCGGCAGCGCCGCCGCCGUAUCCUCCACAGUCGGGGUACCAGCAAGCGCCACCAUAUGGGUACGGUUACGGGUACCCUCCGGCGGGGUACGGGUACGGGGCGGCGCCGGCACCGGUGGUACAGCCGCAGAGGAAGAACAGGCUCGGGAUGGGGUUGGGAGCGGGGCUCCUCGGCGGUGCCCUCGGCGGGCUUCUGAUUGGGGACAUGAUGUCCGACGCCUCCGCCUAC